UAUUUGGAUAGGGGUAGUUGUUGAGGUUUGGAAGAUUAUAAUUUGCAAAGUUAUUAAUAAUACAUUGUCUAUACACAUAGAUGGGAUCAGAUACCGCCCUAGUUCUAAUCAUGAACGAUGUCAACUAGCGAUCCGCAGUUGUUUAUUUUUACGACUCUGCGGGAAGCUUCCGGGAAACCAAAGCUUUUUGGGUUCCGAGGAAAUUAUGAUUGCCAAGCUGAAAUUUAAGAAAGGGCUUCUGUCCUGCUAAAUAGUAUCAACGUCUAGUCAGCCUAAUUAAGCAAUGGCAGGKCUGUGAUACCCUCMGAUGUUCGUGGCUGCACGUGCGCUACACYGAAGGGGCCAGUAUGUUAAUCUGUUGAACCCCUUCGUGGUAAAGAUUGGGGCUUGCAAUUAUUCCCAGUAAGCGUAAGUCAUAAGCUUACGUUGAUUACGUCCCUACCUUUUGUCGUCGCUACUACAUACUAAUUGAACAUUUUAGUGAAGUAUUUGUAUAGAACCACUGGAUGGCAACCUCUCAGUGCAGUUCAAUAAGACUCCCAAACCGAAGCGCUUUGAGGAAAUAAAAUUCCUAAGUGUACCUGCAGAAGGCUCAUUA
rnacentral:rRNA from 1 species